rnacentral:lncRNA from 1 species
GUAAUGGAAUCUCUUUAUAGUUCUUGCAUUUAUUCUUGUCUUUCUUUUCUCAUUACUAUCCCAAUUAUCGGUCACUUUCUAUUAGGCUAUCUAGCUGACAGAAGCAAAUGAUUUAAAUUGUCUUUUCUAUUGGCUGUGAUGAGUCCAUUGAACCCUCCUUCAAAUGCAACCUUUCACCUGCUUUGUACUAUAUAAUUCAGGUUUUUGAAGAUAGAACUCAGAAUAUGUAAGUUCCUGAUCUCUCGAUGAUGAUUUAUAUUUUCCUCUUUUCCUUUGUGUUUCGAUUGAAUUCUUAAGCAAAGAGUGUAAAGUUUACCUUCAUAGUUUGAACAUACUAGGUUAUGGUUUUUUCUUAAAAUGUGUACAGUUCUUGGAUGGUUUCACUGAAAUUUAAAAUUAACUCCACUAGUUAUUGACCAAUGGCCCGUUUCUUGAGGCUUUAGGAUUGCCAGUGGCCGAACAGAGGAAAUAAGAUUCCUCUUAGUUUAUGUAUGUUCUGAUCUCUCCAUCUCACCAGAUUUUCUGUAAUUAUUUACAUUCAAAUAGUGUUAAUUUAGGAGUUUUGAAUUAGUUUAUAUGCUUAAAACUUAGCCCCUUUUUUCCCCUCAUGGAAGCAACAGGAUUAAAAUUUUCCAUCACAAAUAAGCUAUUUCUAACUCAUGAAAGCUCCUCACAACCUUGAUUUGUUGUCCCUCUAUGCAAGAUACUUUAACUAAACUAGAGUACUAAAGUCUGAAUUACUCUUGUAACUUCAGCAAAACUAAGAAAUAAGCGUGAGAUUAUUUGGCUUUCAAUUAAUUACAACAUGUGCUAAAAGCGUUGUAGAAACAUAGUAUAAACAUUACACAUUCAUAAUAAAGCCUACGCCAAUUUUGAAUGAUAAUUUCCAGUAAGUUUAUUCAAUCUAUGCUAAUCUAUUUCCAUUUGAAUGCUCAAGAGUAACUCUGUUUGAGGGGAACUUUAGAACACAUUGGAAUUAUUAAGAGAACAUGCACUUAUAUAUAUCUUUCACUCUGCUUGAUAGCUGUUAUGAACUUGAUAACCUUUCAUGCGAUAACUUCUAAUUUGAUUAUAAGCCUAAACACUGAUUGAUUAUUUACGUAUGCUAAAGAACGACAUUAUCUUCUAAAGUACAGAUGCCUAUGGUAUUUUUAAUUGCUAAAGGCUUGUUCACUUAAUUAUUUUAUGCAGGUUUGUGUUGCUACCUUUGACUUGAGAUCGGCUUAAUUGCAUCUUUCUCAGUACAUUGAGACAAGUUGUUCAUACCAAAAUACAAAAACUCUGCUACAUUUUUAUGAUCCUAUGGUAACAAUUAUUUCCCCAAUCAAAUUGGCACCGGAUGGCAUGAUGGGAGUGUCUGAGCUGGUUGAUAAGCAUUAUUCAUUGAACAAAAAGGUGCUUAUUUCCUAAUUAUUAGCAGCUUUUGUCAUUCUAGAAAAUCUUUUGUAUGCUGACCAUGAUCCGCCAUCUUGCAGAUCAUAAUGUCUCGCGGCUGCUUUGAUGAUACAAAGGUUGUAUAGAAUUGAUGAUUUCUUUGUGAUUUCUUUUCUUGUUCUACAUGGUUUGUGAAGUUGACCAGUUCCUUUCCCUACAGGGUGGUCUCUUGGUCAAAAAUUUGUCAGCGAAGGAGCCAUCUACUCUUGGUUUAGAUACUUAUUGCAAGCAAUAUUAUCUCUGCCUCGCUGCUGCUGCUGCUACCAUCAAAUGGUACAGAAGUUCUAACUAACCUCAGGAACUGAAAUUUUUGCAUGGCUCAAGUAAUUGAUACUGGAAGGUAGGAGCUAGUUUAUCCUUGCAGAGUUGAAAAAUGAAAGCUGAAUGUUCUUUUCUGUAAAAUGAUUUCAAGGUAUCUUAUGGUUAUCCUUUUAUAGGCUUUGUUUACAGGUUGGUUAACUUACUAAACAUAAAAACUACCUAGUAAAUACAUUAUGGAAUUUAGUACAUCUUAAACUACUAAUACUGUUGCACCAUGUUUGUAGAUCAACAACUUCUUUCAUUUAUUUAAUCCUGGCAAAGAGAAAACGUAUGUUUGAACAAUUCUAAUUUGAGAAGGUAGUUUUUCUGGAAAACCGCAAUUUCAUACAUUGAUUAGGUUGAUUAGGUUAGAUGCUUCAUGUUUCCGUUGAUUUCUGGAGUUGUUGCAAUAAAACUUUCUCUGAUUAUUUGUGUACUUGUGUCACUUAAAAGUCCAUAGGCAAAAUCUACGUUGUUAGGGUCUUUAGAUUUUAGAAUUUAUUGCAUAAAAAAAUACAUAUAUAGCCUGUCUAAAUAUUUAGUAAUAGCUUAAACAACUUUAUGGAGAUCUAAAUUUAACAUCAUUUUUUUAAAAAAUUUCUCCUUAUGGCAGCUGCUUUUCCACAAAUAACUUUCUUCAUGGUUUCAGGACUGAAGCAGAGAAAGGCAUAAUAGUAACAAAUCACUCACUGUCGGUAUGUAUUUAUUCGAGUUGCCUACACGGUUUUAAAAGUGUAUUAUCUCAUGCCUAUGAAGAACACAACAACUGUGAGAUUUUGUUAUAUAGUGUGAAUGCUCAUUAAUUGAUAGACACUUUACUCAUGGAUGAACUACCUUUGUUUAGCUUUCUGUAAUUUAGGAAUUGCAUGUAACUUCUACCUGAUAUGGUUCUUAUGGUACAGUUACGUGAUUUUGUAGUGAAUUUUUAACUUUCUCAGGUUACGUUCAAUGGUUCAUUUGAUCACAUGAAUAUUGAUGCUACUAGGUAUAUCUUUUUUUCUUUUUUUUCCCCCUGAAAAUAGAUUAUAUAUUGCAAUGGUAUGUUGUAAUUUAAUGACCUUCUUGCUUCAUAUUGAUGACAGACUAUUGCAAUUAAUUGUUUUAUGAGAAGAGAUUCAUGACUUGCUUGCUUCAUAUUGAUGACAUGCUCUCUCAAUUAGCUGUCUUAUGAGAAGAGAUUCAAUUUUUUUUUUUAAUAUCACGGAUUUCUUAUUCUUCAAUGCUGCUUAGCAGUGUUCAAAAUUUAGAAAUUAUUGACCCUCUACAUACCGAACUGUGGGGUUCUAGCAACAAGAAGAGAAGCCUAUUCCGGAUGUUGAAGACGACGAAGACUAUAGGAGGGUAUGCUUCUUCAUAGCAGUAGUUUUUCAGUUUAUAAAAGAAAGGGAAAUGAUUAAAAUCUGAAUACUUUGGCAUUUUGAACAUUAUGUACAAAUUAUAUUCCUAUUUAAUCUUCUAUAUUAGCUUCAUAUCCCUUCCAUAUGUUACUUGUGGUUUAGGUCUGCCUUAUAUGUUUGCUUACUAAAUGCUUCUUGUUUCAUCUCCUGGUUUCAACUUUUAAAUCAAUUUUCAUGUGGAAUCCCUCAGUCCUUUCUAAUAAAUUCUAAUUGUAAACCAAAAGUUCACUCCCUAUCUAAUGGUAAUUUUUUGCGGUUCUACUAUUAUUAUUACUUUCUUGUCAGAAAUUUGGGAUCUCUUGUAAAUGACUAGCAGCGGGCAUUUAUCUAUUUAUUCAUUUAUCUGUAACACAUAUCAUUGGUUUAUUCCUUAUACUUGUUUAAAGCUUACAGAAGAUUUAGUGUGGAUCAUGUUCCUUUUUGUUACAUCAAGGUUUCUAAAUACCUCCAUUUUUGGCAAUUCGAGAACUUUGUCUUCUGUGAUCUUUUACUGUUGCUUUUUGUUACAGGUGGAUUACUAUUCAUUGAACAUCUAAUUUUCCGCAUUUUAAAGUGUUCCCAUUCAUCUCUCUGGAAUACAAGUAUUCUGUUGUUUCUGAUUUCGCGUUCAUAGGCAUCAUUGGUGACUUGUUUCAAAAACCUGUUAGGAUUAUCAUCAUGAAACUAAACACUCUAAUCAAUCUUCUUGUUUUGAAUUGUCUUGGGCUAUAUGUACUUUUUAGGUGCUCCAGCUGUUCAUACUAUUGCUGCUGUAAAUCUAGUUACUGUUGUCUGUUAUUUUUGUCUGCCUUCAACCACUGUCAAUGCAUCUACUUCUUUUGGCAGUAUCACUGAUAUGACAUUGCACUGCUUGUUAUAACCUAUAAAUAUUCUCAUGUUACACUUCAGAAUUCUUAUUCAUUUUAGAUAACAUCAAUUUACUUUCACAUCUUUAUACAUCAGAAUGAUUCACUGCUGGGAAUAUGGGUAUAGGUGGUUAACUGGCAUAACUCUGUUGCAUACUGUCUUUGACAGUUUGACUCUUCUGAAAGCUGUGGCUAUAUUCUGCAUUAGUCAUUUGUCCAACUUACAUGUGGUUGUGUAUUUCAUGUUGUUAGGCUUAGUAAUCUCAUCUUUCUUCUCUAUCACGAUUUGCAAUUUUCAAGAUUAUAUGUACUUUCUUUUAUUUAUUAUUGGCCAAGUUAGAGGUUUAAAAUAUAAUAUUCAUUACUUGAUAAUGUGCAAUGUGUAGUUUUGUAAUUACAUCAUUGCAAACUAGAUUUUCGUGAAUAUGCUAGGUCAAUAUAUUUUAUAUGAAAACGCCACUUGUUAAAUUGGGUUUCCUUCUCCUAUGAAUGAUGCUUUUUAAAGUUUCUUUAGAUUUCAUAGUAUCCUAAUGACUAAAUCUAUCUGUUAAUUACCUAUAAAUGGACAUGCACAUUUCAGGGCUAGACUACUUCGAGCCAACUUACUACAACCAUUAAAGGAUAUGGAAACUAUCAAUGCCCGUCUUGAUUGCUUAGUGAGUAGUUCCUGAUUCUUGUUAGAUUAUGGUUGUUGAGAGGCCAAAGGAAAAAUAAGUGUGAGAAUAACAGUUCCAUGAUGUCAGUUUGAUUUUCUCAAGUUGUUUGAAUUGUUAAAAAUGUAUAAGAUUACUGCUAUGAUUUUUUUAUUUUCUCUUUUCUGUUGCAUUGAGCAGCAGAGUAGGUAUAUUUUGAUACAAGAAAAUAUUAGCAAAAGGUUGGUUAGAUAUGGUAGUACACAAAAUACACAAAAUAUAAGGACAAAAUAAAUUGUCUGCCUCUGACAAACUAUAACUUUGUUCUUUCGCAAGUUUCAACAAUUGUACGAUAUAAUAGAUGGUGAUUGUAAUGAUACUUUGCUUAUUUAUGCAUUACUAUCUGAAGAAACAUCGUAACUUCUAGAGUUUCCAAUUACUGUUAUAUUACAGGAAAAUAAUAAGUUUGUAAAAUCUAGUUUUUUUUUAGAGAGAGAAAAGUAACAUACUACUGCUUCAUUCAUUUAGGAUAUGAACUAAGCUACAAAUUGAGGCAAUCCGGCCUCCAAGAAAAAACAGAAAAAACUUGCUAUGUGCCACAGUGGAGAUUACACUGGACUCUGAAAUUGUGUGGCCUCACCAUCAAUUGCCCCGUGGUGUGUUUCUUUUUCUCGAAGAUUCUUUUGUUACGCUCCAGCCAGAUAACCCACCAUGUUGAUGCAAUGAUCGUUAACUCCCUCCCUCCCCCCCAAAGUUCCUCCUUUGAGUCUACUCAACUCCCAAAGCCUACCCGUAGAGGAACAAUUAAAAGGAGAUAUUUUAUCGGACAGUUGACCUGCCAACAAAAUUCUUGUAACUGCACAGUCCACAAAGAGGUGGUCGAAAAAUCUAGUAAUUGCUUAUUGCACAUGUACGCUGAGUUAUGCAUGAUUACUUUAUUUUUGUUGUUCCAAACAUAACAUUAUAGUAGCUUAAUCUUCAGUAUCUUUGUCGGUUUUGUGGAAUAUCAAUAGCAAUUCCUUUUCAUAAAUAAAAUUUUAUAAACUGGUCUCAAAUUUGUCACUUUUGUCUGAUUUAAUAGGUCCAUCUAGGUUAAGAUAAGAUUAUUUCUGCUAGUCAUUCUUGAAAUAUAUACUUCUAUUUUCAGGAUGAACUAAUGAGCAAUGAAGAGUUGUUCUUUGGACUGACGCAGGGUCUUCGAAAAUUUCCAAAAGAGACAGGUUGGAUGACUAUCUCCUAAUUCUUUGCUUAUUAUUGUGGUGUAUAUAUGUGAUAGCUUCUAAAAGCAUGCUAACCUCAUUUUAUGACUUUUGCCAAGACAAGGUUCUUUGUCACUUUUGUUUCAAACCCAGAAAGGUCACAGAGGAAGUUUUGAAGUCUGUAAAUGGUAGAAAGAGUCAAAUGCUGAUUUCAGACAUUAUUGUUCUUAAAACAGCUCUGGAUGCCAUACCCUUUCUUUCCAAGGUAAAUAAAAGUGCUCAUUUCAAGACUUGGUGAUAAUCUGGAGACUAUCAAAUGUUGUUAUGUUUUCUAAAUUAGUUGAUGCAACCAUCUCACAACUGUUUCAAUACACAGUACUAGCACUGUAGAAACACAUCAACCAUAUCCUUUUCGUCCAUGGGAAGUGUGUUUUGUUUUUUUUUUGGACUAAAUAUCUCAAAUUCUAGGUUCUCAAGGAUGCAAAAUGUUCCCUUCUUUGCAACAUUUACCGCACUGUUUGUGAAAAUCAGAAAUAUUCAAACAUGAGAAACAGGUUUGAUACUGUAGUCCUUGUACUUACCUUUUUUAUAUUUUUUUGAAACUUGUUUAUAUUGAAGAAAUUUCAGUGUGGAUGCAUUAAUAGAACUAUGGGCAACUGCAGUCAGCAUGUCCUGUGCAUUUUCAAGUGUUUACUUCUAUUUUUUUGCCUUUCCCAGAAUUAGGGAUGUAAUUGAUGAAGAUGUGAUACAUGCAAGGGCUCCUUUUGUUGCUUGCACACAGCAGUGUUUUGCUAUCAAAGCUGGAAUAGAUGGACUUCUUGAUGUUGCACGCCGUUCCUUCUGUGACACAAGUGAAGGUGCAUAAAAAUUUUAAGUUGAUACCAGCAUGUAUUCUGCAUUUCUUAUCACCUUGUUGUUAACAGCUAUACAUAAUCUUGCAAACAAAUACCGGGAGGAAUUUAAUCUGCCAAAUUUGAAGAUCCCAUACAACAAUAGGCAGGGAUUUUACUUCAGUAUUCCACAGAAGGACACAUCUGGAAAGCUUCCUAAUACAUUUAUUCAGGUUUGUCAUUUACACUAAUUUAUUUUUUCAUUAUUUGUGCUAGACAUUUGAAGAAUACUGAACUAUUUUGGUUUUAGGUCAUGAAACAUGGGAAAAACAUACACUGCUCAAGUUUUGAACUUGCCUCUGUAAGUUACUUAUGCCACUUGUCCUUCUAUUUUAGUGAUUAAAAAUGUUGUUCUUGGUCAUUCUAUAUUGGAAUUGCUGGUCAAGAUGAAAUUCAUGAUUUUUAAUGCACAUUUCAUAUUCAUUAAUGAGGAAUAGAGUUGGCUGAUAACUGUUAGUUGCUUAUCUUCACUUCACUCCAGACUUCACACUGUGGUUUCUUGUGCUGUUAUUGUAUUUAUAUUUUUGAAAUGUUUAUUUGAUAUUUAUUUCUUUUUGAUAGCUCAAAUUGCUGUAAGUUGAUGCGAAUCUCUGAUAUUUUAUCCUUAUAUCUUGUGUUCUAUACAUGAUAGAUAAGCUUUCUGAAGUGGACCGAAAAUCUGCUGACAUGGGCCUGUCUAGCUUUCACAAGUUUGUAAGACCUAUAUUUGAAAGAACGAGAAGCCAGAAAGACCGAUGAUGUACAUCUAAGAGAGAACACUCUGGCUACUCUUUAUUCUGAUGUUAUGUCUAAAGUUGAAUUUCCAAACAAUAGCAGUAUAGCACAUCAACUUUACUCUUUAGUGAAUAAUCCAUCAUCGAAAGAGGAGAAAACAACAAAAAACUAUUGGCAGAAGAAGAGGCUGCUUGACUGAAGCAGCCUUUUCCUUUAUCCUUAUGCAGUAAGCUAUCCGCUUCAGGCUAAAAUGAUUAUAAAACUCCCGGAAAUAUGGCUGGAUUUUUCAGUAGAUAUUAAAUCAAGUCGCACUUUACAGACAACUCUAAUGAUGUUACAUGUCCAAUAUGUAAUGUGGGGUAAGACUAAUUUAUCCUGCUAUGUUCCGUAGUAAGGUCAGACUAUAACCAUACUUCGCACCACUAUGCUACAAUUAUGUAACUAUGACUAAUGAUUUUCAGCAUGAAUUCUAUAGCAGCGUCGCUUCUUGAUAACAUAUUAUGCUUGAAGCUUCAUUCAGUGUAAAAUAAUACAUUCAAACUUCUAUGGCUUUCAGCUGCACUAGAUAUUCUUCCACAACUCUUCAGAUAUUUUGUUGUCCUACUUUGUCCCAUAUGCAAAUGUGUGCUAUCUAACUGUUGGAAACUUUGACAGUUCAUGCUGUCAUCUGCCAAAAGUUCUUACACGAAUCUGUUAUGCUGAUGUCUUUGCAGCUGAAUGUUAGGAAUAAAUCAGCUUCUGCCGAAUGCUUUUUGCGCACAGAACAUUGUUUGGAAGGUUGCAAUGACUUUGUCAAAAUAAGUUAGUUGUGCCUUGUUCUAAUUUCUCUUUUUUUCAUUUUAUGCUGGAUAGCGCAAUCACUUGUUAAUUCUGCUUAAUUGAUGGAAAAUGUCAAAUGGUUUUGAAAGGUAUACCAGCUUACUUUAGUGACUUUUUGUGAACUUGAUACUUUGUAGAAUUACAUUCUGAAAAUCUUCAUAUAUAUGAAUAUCAUAUCAAUAGAUUUAUUUCGUCUUCGGAUCUGUUUCGGUCAUCUUUUCAACCACAUUAUACUCUCUGCAAUACAUUGGUAACAUCAUGGCCACUGUUUCUGACCAAUUUAUAAUUGUUUCAACAAGUUAUAUGUGACUUCCUUGUUGAAGCAUUUGACCUUAAUAUAAGAGGAUAAUGUAAAUAUUCGCAUAUACAAGUAUAUAACAAACAACUGUAAUAUGCAAAUUUUCAUCCUAAUAAGCAUAAAAGGUAUUUGAACGCUGCUGCAUGUUAAUCUUUUUAACUCCAGAAGAUAGCCAGUGAUAAUUGUAGCAUGCUUUGCAUUCCAGGCCAUUAUCUUGUUACUCUUUGUUCCACCCUUCAUCGAGCCAAAUUUAUGAAUUUAUGAAAUUAUUUAUUUUAAAUUUUGGCAUACAACACAAUAUUCCUUGGAUGUGCACCAAAAGCUGAAAUGGGUGGCCUCUGUGUAGUAAAUUGUAUAUUGAACAUUCCUCGCCUCUCUAUGUCAAUUACUCAUUUUUCAUUAGCGAUGUUUAAAAUUCUCUUCUUUUAGACUGAACGAUGUCAAUUCUUUGUCCUCUACUCUGCAGGGCUGAUUGAUGCAAUAAGGCAGGAUAUCUCCAUACUAACAUUGCUUGCAGAAGUCUUAUGCCUUCUAGACAUGAUUGUGAAUUCAUUUGCGCACAGUAUUUCAACUAAGCCUGUUGACCGCUACACAAGACCAGAGUUUACAGGUAGCAAAUGUUUCUUUCACAAUUUUAAUGUAAGCAGGUGACUAACUGAGAUUCUUUUGAACAGAUAAUGGACCAAUGGCAAUUGAUGCUGGCAGACACCCUAUACUGGAAAGCCUACACACUGAUUUUGUUGUAUGUAGUAUGUACAGUAUAUCAAUUUUAUCUUCCUUUGAUGUUGUUAUAGUGUAUCACAGAAUAACUAGAUCAGUUUUGUGUGCAGCCUAAUAAUCUUUUUCUCUCUGAAGCAUCUAAUAUGGUGAUUGUCAUGGGCCCCAACAUGUGAGAGUGCCCUAUCUAUUAGCAAUUUUUGGAGUAAACUCAUUUAUGAACUACUUAAACAUGCACUACUUCCAAGCUAUUCAUAUGAGCAUUUUGGCAAUUAAUGCCUAAAGGCCUUAUUUUGGUCAGGAGCGGAAAAAGCACUUAUCUUCAACAGAUUUGUCUAAUAGUCAUCCUUGCACAAAUCGGAUGUUAUGUCCCUGCUCGUUUUGCAUCUCUAAGAGUGGUUGAUCGCAUAUUCACACGGAUUGGGACUGGAGAUAAUGUUGAAUACAAUUCUAGCACUGUAUGCAACCUUAAACUUAAUCUUCUCCUUAUUGUCUAUUUAAUUGCUUGGUUGCGCAUCUAUUUUGAUAGAAAGUACUACUCCGAUGAAAUAUGUUUAUCUGAUAGAUCUAUCUUAUCUUUGAAUAUGGAUCAUAUUGCUAAUUUCCUAUAUUGGGCAAAGAUUCAUGUCUUUCUUUAAUAUCAAUCAAAUGCAAAUCUCUUCCUUAUACAUGAUGCAGAAUAAAUGAUACGCAUAUGAAUCUCUGCCCUGUAUUUCACUUUUUCCUCAAGCUUAUUGUCUUAUUGUCUUUGUCAUAUACUUAUAAUGUAUCGUGACUGGUAGCACAUUUUAUGUUUUCUAUAGUAACAUUUAGUUGAUUCAAAUUUAUCUUACACAUGUAAAUUCCUGAAGCUACUUGAAGCAUUGAUUCAUGCAAUCUUGGAGAAGAGAUAGAUAUUAGUAAUAGCACAUCCAAGAUAAGAGAUGAUUACAUAAGCACUAUCUUUCUCCUAUUCAAUGUUAUGUUUUAUUCAACUUAUUGUUCAUUAAAUCAUGAGAAAUUUAAUAAACAAACUCUUAACCUAGCUUCACACCCUUUCAUGAUUUUCUAUAAAAUUUUCAAUCAAAAUAUACUAUUAUGGAAUUAACUAUUUAUAGUUACUAGUAGGAGCUGUUGCUACUUGCUAGGUAGAGAAGCCUGUCUAGAUUAUAUGCAUCUACAUAGCAGUAUUUUGACAUCCUUUUCUAUGAAGGAUAUUGCUUGGUAGGUAACUUGUGAGUUGUGAUUUAAUAUCAGGAGUGUUUUCUAUUGUCAAAAGGCACAUCAAUGGUGGUGACCAGUAGGACUAUAGGAGUGCGUUCAGCUGACUGAACAUAAAGAAUCGAAUAGCUAUGUUAUCAGACCGAACACAACCGAACCUGAAUUGCUACAAGACAGAAUUUGAUCUGAACAAAAGAUUCUGGUUCAGUUCAGUUCAGUUCAAUUUUAACUGGUUUGGACCUGUUCUUGCUCGUAGUGUUUGUCUCCCAUAGUCCCAUGUCUAAAAGUUUGGUUUUCUUCUCAUGGUCACUUCUUACUCACCAUAAUUAUGAACACUGCAAGUUAAUUUGCUCUGCCUUUGCAUUGCGUUUUAUGUCAGGAUUAUUUAUUUGCGGCUUCCAUUACUUUCUUAUGCAGUUUUAGCACGGCAAAUGCAAAAUAUCACAGCUAAUUUGCAACCAUUGAGUCAUCUGAACAGUGUGAUUUUAGUCACACAGCGACCUUCUGAUACUAUUUUCUAGCCAAUAGGCACAUUUAACUUCUUUGCAUCUGUUAUUCUUUCUUCUCUUUUACACCAUUUGUUAACAGAUGCUUUAUAUUUUAUACUCUGCAUGGGUGCACCUUGUGAGGGAAAACUGCAAAAGGCUAGCAGAGUUUUUUAAUUAGUAAUUAUCCAGCUUGAGGAUUAUUCAGGAUAUUUAUGGAUCAUUUUGAUAUAGAAAACUUCCUGAUCGCUGAAAUGGUCCUUUGUAGUUUAUGACGGAAAUGAAAGAGACAGCUUUCCUCAUGCAAAAUGUGUCCCCAAAGUAUCGCCUCUAUAUUGUUUUAACUUCCAUUAUUAUGUCACAUUUACUGAUAAUAUUUUGAUAUUAUCAUAUGAUGGUCUUUCUGAUUUUAGGAGCCUGGUUGUUAUGGAUGAGCUGGGAAGGGCAACUUCUUCCUCUGAUGGGUUUGCAAUUGCUUGGAGCUGUUGCGAGCAUCUGCUAACUCUCAAAGCGUAGAUAUUACACCUCCUUACAAUAAAUAUGUCAAAGCUACUGGUAUAAAUAGGUUUUGUUGAAAAUUUUAGUUCAAAGGACAUGAGUUUUCGAACGACCUCCAUAAAACUCUAGGGCAACUCCAUCUCUCCUAAUCUGUUCUUAUUCCAUUUUUGUUUAUAAAUAAUACACAUGCAUCAGUAUUACUAGAAAUAAUUAAUCCUGAUUUUGUUGUCAUUCCAUUUGCAGUACAUUCAUAUUGUUACUCUGCAAAUUUUCAGAUUGCUAGCAUUUAUGAGUAGCAUUAUGUUGUUUUGGAGUAAUUGCUUUUCUCUUGUGCAUGCAAAAUGCAUUUAUAGUUUGCUUAAAUUGAGAAAAGCUCUUUAAAUGUUUUCUUCGUUAGGUACACUAUAUUUGCUACGCAUAUGGAGGGUCUAUCUGAACUUGCAACCAUCUAUCCUAAUGUGAAGAUUCUUCAUUUUGAGGUCGACCUACGCAACAAUCGCUUAGAUUUCAAGGUUGUUUUUUGUACAAGUAACUUGUUUCAGGGAAUCGUUUCCAUGGACAACCCUAGAGUUCUUUUAUUUGUCAUUUUUUUUCUUUGGCUCUUUUUCAGUUUCGUCUCAAAGAUGGUCCAAGGAGGGUGCCACACUACGGUCUUCUAUUGGCUGGUGUUGCAGGUCUACCAAGCUCCGUGGUGGAGACAGCAAGGAACAUUACUUCAAGAAUCACAGAAGAGGUAUUAUGCUACUCUUUCUGUAGUCACAUCACCACAAUCGUCGGCACGUACAAUGGUAUGAGUUUUUCAGAAUGCUCUAACAUCCAAUGUCCCUUCUGGUGGGAAGUUGUGAGCAACUUGGCCGGGACGCUAACAAAAAUGAUAUAGAAGAGCAUCAGAAGCUAUUCUUGCAUUGAAAAAAAUGUUUUGAAAGAGACUAAGAGACAUGGGAUCCUCGUUCUUUUCAUUUCCUAGUGCUCAGAAGUUUUUUCAAAACACUGUUCAGUAACACCUGUUUUUGAUAGGAAAUGAGGAGAAUGAAUAUCAACUUUGAGCAGUAUCACUCAAUUCAGAUGGCGUACCGGGUUGCACAAAGGCUGAUCUGCUUGAAAUAUUCCAACCAAGGCGAGGAUUACAUCCGCCAAGCGCUGCAGAAUCUGAAGGAGAGCUACAAUGAGGGUCGGUUUACAUGCUGAUCAAUUAUUAUGACAUCACUCUGUGAUACGCAAAAGAGGUGAGUUUUCUUAUAUGAUAGUCAAGGAGAAUUCACUGGUUUUUGAUUCGCAAGCAUAUUUUGACAAGAUGAAACAAAAUCACAAGAAACUAUGAAUUUAUUUACCUAUAUUUUGGUCAAACUAUUUUAAGAAAUUUGCAAUUAUUCGUUUCAAAGAAACUUAGAUAUCCUUUUAACUUCUUUUUCUCAAAAUGGAAGGAGAAUCUUUUGCUCCCUUGCGUGGCUGGCCUUGCACGGAAAUUCUUACAUUUUUAUUGCCUUGACUGGUUACGUCCGAUGGCCUCGCGAGUCACGAGUCACGAGUCACGAGUCACACUCGCUUAAAGAAUGAGAUCUGUGGGCCUGUGGCCAGUCUCCACUUUUAGAGACAUAUUUUCGUGCACCAAGUUUACCACGUCACCCGUGGACCGCGCAAACAUCAAUCCUUCGCUUUUAUUUUAUUUUAUUUAUUGUUAGCUGGAAUUAUAAGGACACGGCAGUACAGGACCUGGACACGGCAGGAAGUAGAUGGCUACGAAUGACGGCAGGUCCACAGCUGACGUGGUGGACCCGGUCCAGAACAGUCUAGGUAAAUGCCUAGCCGCACUUCGUCUCCCUGCCACACGAAGAGAAAGUAUUGCACGCACAUGGAGGUCUCUCAAAUGCCACAUUUAAUUUAUUUGAUAUUUAUUUUAAUAUUAUAAAGACCAACAAGUUCGAGAUAUAAAUUUGGAUCUGAAAAUGAGCUCUAAAUUUUCGUAGAUAAGAUAUAUCAAAUUAUAUUUGGAUUUUACUAUAUUAAUUAUUAAAUAUUAAGUAUAGUACUUAAAAUGGUUGUUAAACUGACAUGUGGGGCCCACGGAUGUAGUACUCAUACGUCAGCGUAAUUUCUAAUCUCUCACGAUGUGGGAGGACGUCAAAAAUAUACUGGAUUACCCCGAUCAAAAUCGUAAAUUUUCCUUGUUAUAAAAACUAAUAGGAUCCAGAAAUAGACCUAUCAAUAAGUACUUGGGGGUCGAAUCUAGCGUGGCCCAAUGAAACGUUGUCCUUUGCCUAUCGUCACAGGCCAUAUAUCUGGGCUAAUACGAUCCGGCCAUGAGCAAUGAACCCGCGGCCCGCAGCCCGCGGGCCACCGCCCACGUAACCCAAAUUCGUUGUCAUCCUACUACGAAAAUCCUUCACCGGAAGCCAAAUGCACCAACUCAACGGUCGAGAUCAGGACCUACAAAUCCAACGGUAGCAAUUUAUUAAAUAUUAAAUAAAUCCAAUAUUCUCACACUUCCCAUGGCCCCGAGAAAACCCUAAUCCUAGCACCUGCGGUGAGCUUCUUCGGAGCAAUGGGUGAGAGCUUCUCUUCUCCUCUGCAGCUUCUCCUAUUUCGAUCUUUUCCCAUUUCUCCCUCGAUGCAUUUGCCCAUCGUUUUUUCUUUGUCAUUUUCUUUUAGGGGCGUACAAGUACGUGUCGGAGCUAUGGAGGAGGAAGCAGUCGGAUGUGAUGCGGUUUUUGCAGCGGGUGAGGUGUUGGGAGUAUCGCCAACACCCGUCCAUCGUCCGCGUCACGAGGCCCACUCACCCCGACAAGGCUCGGCGCCUCGGCUAUAAGGCCAAGCAGGUAUCAAUUUUUAAGUUAAGGCACAAUAUAACCCACUGUUGCCCGGAGCCUUUUUUUUUUUCAGCUUUUGUUUUCUAUUUUGUUGGAUUUAUCAAUGGAUGCUGGUUCUGUUACUCACGAGCUUUAACAAUUUUAUCAUCUGGUAUCUCUGGGAAUAUAUCGAGGGUGCAAAAUUAGGUGUGAUACAUUUGAAAGAUUCGACAUUGUUGUUGUUGUAUGAUGAUUCUACUGAUUACUGAACAACAUGUUUACUUUGAUCACUAUUAUCCCAUUUGAUAUCCUGUUUCACGUUACAUUUUGCUGUCGUGGACUCUUUGCUUGGAGCCUUUAGUUGAUGGCAUAAACUGCUGAGUGGUAGGGACAAUUUAUGAGCGCAUGCAUUCAGAAAAUAUCUGUUGGAUUUGGCAUUUGAUAUAAUGGUUACUAUCUAGGUUGCAUCGACGAAUCUUGAAUACUGGAAUUUAAACAUGAAAAGCUUCUGAAACCUUCUCUAAAUGCUUGCGUGUAGCACUUCUUCCGCAGACUUGUCCAAACCUUAUCUUGCCAUUUAUGUCCUAUGAAACUAGUCUUUUCGUGAAUUUCCUGUACAGCACGUUGUUCUUUUGUUCCUCAACUGCGCGUUAAGCAUGAAGUGAAUGUGUUUUCACAAAUUCAACAUGCUCCGUGGUUGGACAUCGGAUGUGAAUGAUACGCCCUGUGGUGUGGUACAGGGUUAUGUGAUUUACCGUGUCCGAGUUAGGCGUGGAGGCAGGAAGAGGCCGGUCCCCAAGGGUAUUGUCUAUGGCAAGCCCAAGAACCAGGGUAUCACUCAACUGAAGUUCCAAAGGAACAAGAGGUCUGUUGCUGAGGAGAGAGCUGGUCGGAAGUUGGGUGGUCUCAAGGUGCUCAACUCCUAUUGGAUCAAUGAGGUCUGCACAGAUUCCUUUGAUAUAUUUCUUAUAUGCCCGUGUAAAUAUCUAUGUACAUCAUAUCAUGAAAAAUCAGAAUUUCCAUAAUAGCUGUGCUUUUAAGAGGCAUGAAAAUUCAGUAUUUAAAGGGACAUAUAUGUAAAUCAGUAAAUAUAGAGAUUUUGGUAGCAGAUGUUGUACGUAAAAUGACCAAUUUUUAUGCUAACACUAAAUAAAGUUUUAAAACUAUUUUUGUUAGAUUUUGAUCAUUUUAUUUUAUAUUUUAUAUUUGUUACAUUUUGUCUGUCUCAUCUUUUCAUCGGUUUAUUGUUUACCCCUUUUUAUGGCAGGACUCGACUUACAAAUACUAUGAGGUUAUCCUUGUUGAUGCUGCCCAUAAUGCAAUUCGUAAUGAUCCAAGAAUCAACUGGAUCUGCAAGGGUGUUCACAAGCACCGCGAGCUUCGUGGACUCACGUCAGCGGGUAAGAAGUACCGUGGCCUGCGAGGCAAGGGCCACCUGCAUCACAAGGCAAGGCCAUCUCGCAGAGCAACUUGGAAGAGGAACCAGACUUUGUCCCUUCGCCGAUACCGUUGAGCUUGUGUGCUUGGAGAGGUGUAUCACUGGAUUUUCUCUUAUUUGGACUUCAUAUUUUGCACUGGCAUCGAAUGUUGUUAUCUUUGUUUGGAGGAUUUGUUUGAACACGAAAAAAAUUUCUUUGCUCUUGUAGUUCUACAAACUAUGUAGAUUUUUGCUAGUUAGGCAUUUGUUAAUUAUAAGUCUAUUACUGUUAAGGGUACAUUUUGAGUGAUUCUCUACUUACGCCUUCUUCUUGGUUGUUAUUUUCCAUUUUGGCAAUCCUAGUGCCUAUAAAAGAAUCUGAUUUGCUUCUUAAGAUGUAGUCUAUGUUGUUUUGUGGCGGCGCGUGCGCUUUUGUUGAUUUGCCUGGAUGAGUUGGGGGUUUAUAUGAUUUGACUUUAGUCCAUCCUAUUUGGGUUUGUUUGAACAAUUCCAAUUUGGUUUGGGUACAUGGUAGAAUCGAUAUUUACCUUAUAAGAGUAAUGGAUUCUUCGUAGGAAUUUGAUCCGCUUGAUGUUCAUUGGGAUUUAAUCACAUUCGAGUCAUAAGAGAUGGGAAUGGACUCUGGUGUAUCUUUUUCUUUUUGUUUGUAGUUGUCUUUUUCUAUUUAUGCAUUACAUGGCUUUUCAUAUUGAGUGCAUAUACUUACGGUUGCUGUACAAGAGCAAGAAGGGAGCAGAAGAGGAUGAAGCUGUGUGUUAUACGGCUCGCUAUCUGCUAGCCCAGAAUCCAUGGAACCCAAGAGGGAAGGUCAAGUUCUUUGGAACUUCAAGCUUCGCGACGACUGCAUUUGCUCUUCCUAUUCUCUUCGCAUCUAGCACCACAAGGUAGCAUAUCCGCUCCGACACUGCAUACUGCACCAGAUAAUACAACUCGGCUGUUAGAAAGUUGUAACACCGAAAGGAUGUUGCUUAAGAAUCUUUACAGUUCAUGGUUUCCCAACAGCUUUAUCUUCAGCCGUGUACUCUAAAAGCUUAAAAGCUUUGUAGAGUCCGUGUGUGUGUUUGUGUGGGCAUUAAGUGCAUGUUCUGCUAAACCAACUUGGUUUAGCAGCAAAGCUAGAUGCAGCAUUAGUAAAACAACUAUAGUGCUUGUGUUGAGUUUUCCAAACUCAACUUUGCGUCCCGCACCAAAGUCAUGAGGCCAAGCUAGGCCACUAUGACUUCAUGAAACCCGCCCUUAAGCUUCGACAUGCGCAGAAAUUUGUUCAUCUUACCUCAACAACUAGAACAUAACCGUCGUCCUCCUUGACGCCUCUCUGAAUAAAUAUGGGCUCUCCGAUGAACGACCGGCUCGUGGUGGACCAUGUAGAUACAGAUCCAUCUGAUGUAUUAAGCUUUACCACGCUGUCGAACGGAAAAUGCGGCAGGAAUCUUCGGCUGCCUGAUGUUGCCGCCGCAUAAACAAAGGUAUUCUUUCUGUUGGAGAAGUCCGGAUUGAUCGCCGGGAAGUCUGCCGGCCUAUUCCAUUGCUCUGAAAGAUCGGUAAUCGAACAGCACCGAAUAUUUCCGCUUGAAUCGAUAUCAAUUUUCAUCUGCAAGUGCACGCACAAUUUCGACAGAAUUGAGAUGACAACUAAGGCUAAUGGUCUUGUAGCGCAUAUCUAGGAAUAUAACACAGUUGAGAGACUCUGUAAUAUAUUUACUUUAUUUUUCAGAUCCUGGUAUGAUUUCUUAUGCAGGUUUUCAUGAAUACCUUGAUCAGGUGGGGUAGCAAUUUCUCCUUUCCUUCUGCAACAUUCAUGAAAGAGGGAUCCAGCUUUCCACUUCUCCAGUUGUACCCUACAAAUUGAUUAAAGUCCCAAAACAUUAGAUGUAAACAAUGGAAUAAUGUACAAACUUAAAUGUAUACAUACCAAACAUUCUCUGGAAAUUGAACCAUUGGUAGGAGCAAACUGAGACCUGCAGUUGCACUUCCAGGUUGCCGUCACCGUCUCUCUCCUCGAAGGCGUUGCCGAUGUGCAUGCCCCAUAGCUGUGACGGAGCUUCGACAGGAACUCUCCAGUCGCGCUUUGUGAUAUUCGUCUCGCCCGCAGAGAAGCGAGGUAGCACGUAAAUUGGCGUCGAUGGUUGGCUCGGGUUCACGGAGAGCGCUGAUAUCAUGGGAUGGAGCCCUGAUACUGCAAGAAGCGAUCCUGUAAUUCGUGUGUAGAGUUCUAUUAGAAUAAAUGAGUUUGAGAUUUCAGAGAGUCCAAACUCCAAAACCAGUGAUCAAGGCUAGGAUGAAUUGUUUCGAGCCUAAGAAUGAAAUUGUUAAAGUGCCUCGUGAUUACUUGAACAACUUUUCCAUUUUGAAAGCUAGUAAUAUUUAAGCGUUUCACAAAUCCUACGAUCAUAUAUUAAUAAAAUUGUGUGUUAGUACUUUUUGGGAUAUUUCUAUUCAGUUUUAUGCAUAUGCUUCAUACAAAAUUGAAUGGGACCACGAGAUCAUUUGUAUAAUGGGAACUUACCGGGGACGUCAACUUUGAUGCGAUUGCCAAUUAAUAUAUAGUGGCUAUCGGUGAAGGCCCAGUCGUGAAUCAUCAACUGAUCCGGGAUGACGAACUCUUUCUUUUGCUUCAGCUCAAAAUUACAAUCAAAUUCUACAUCCAAAAAAAAAAAAGGAAAAAACAUAAUAUACUCAGCUUAUAAGGAAGGAGUAGUUAAUUGCUCGAGCUCUUGAAUAUGAAUGACCAUGUGGCCAAUUAUAGAGAAAAAACAAUAACAAUAUCCAUUAUAAAUUAAUGAAUGAGAAUCUAGUUGAUUUGUAGAGCAAUUAAAUUACCGUAGAAAGUGAAGUGGGAGCGAGGGAGGAGCAUGUCCUCAGCAUUGCAGGAAAGCAGCAAGAGCCUGUUCCUUUUGGGGUCGAUCUUGUAGUGCGCUAGCAACCUCUUUUGUGGCAUGUUGAACACCCCUGCGCGCCCCACACACCAUAUAUCUUGCACGUCAAUUACACACUGGUUUGUACUUUAAAACAACAGCAACAUAGUUCGCAAUAGAAUAUUGACAAAUAAAUAUGCAGUUUAAACUUCUAAAAAAUAAAUGAUAAAUAUUAAUUGUAACUGCAUGAUGAUCGAUCUUCUUACUCACCGCCGAGGAUAGGCUUCAGCAAAUGAGCCGCCACGUCCAACCCCACCUCCGACAAUCCGCCACCCCGCCUUUUCCACCACCCCCGGCCACCAGCAUCGUCCUCGACCGUCCGAAUCGACAGCUCCCACCGUCUCCAGCGUCCGCGGAUCGACCUCGUACGGGUCCCCUCCCUCCCACAGACACAGCACGCGCCCCGACCACCGCAGCACGCUCGUGUUCGCCACGUUCUUCAUCACCUUCACGUUUCCCACGCGCUUCCCUCCCCUCAGCACCGAGAAGGGCCCUCGGUGCGUGAACCGCCACGCGCUCCCCGCCCCGCGGCGCUCCUCCCGCUGCGCCAUGGUCGCCACGUACCUGGCGGAGUAGUAGACCCCGCCGCCUACGCGGAAAUCGAAUGCGCGGAGGUAUCCGUGGCCGUCGAGGGGGUGGACGGUGGAGCCGUGAUCAUCAGAGAAGAGACCGGGUCCGGCGAGGUAGUAGGUGCCGGCGGGGAAAUCAGCGGGGAGCGAGCCCUCGGCGAGGCGGAGGGGGAUCGGGUCGGGGGAUUCGCACCGCUGGGAGGCGAAAAGGAGGUUGUAGUCCCAAAAGGCGGUGGCCGGGGAAUCGGUGAUCGUCGUCGUCGUCGGGACCGUCGGGGAGAUCGUGGUAGAGGCGGCGGAAGUGACGCGGAGGGACGAGGGUGAGGCCACGGCCGAGGCCGAGGAGGAUGGGAGGUGUUUGGGGUACGUUUUCGGUGGACGAGGAGGAGGAGGAAGAGGGAGGAGAUGGUGGUGAGGAAGAGAAUCCAUUCCUUUUCCUUCGUUUUUAUUAUUUUUUUUCUUUUUGUAUUUUUGGGUAGAGUCGUGGAGAGGGGGGUUUUAUGAACGGUUGUGGGGGGUUUUUGGAGGGUUUUGGCGGGGAAUCGUUGUAGAAGGGAGUGGAAUCCAAAAGGUUAGGCGGUUCUUUGUUCGCUUAUAUAGGAGAAAGUUAGGGGCUUUGACGCAAAUGUUGUGGAGAAUUACUAAAAUGCCAUUAGAUUCAUUGGUGCCGUUUCGGAAUCUUGGAGCUUGAUGUACGAUCGGUUGUUGGUUUCGCAGGUUGGUUCUCAAAUUCUAGAACUGUUUUUAGGAAUGUUCAUCUUAAUGGUUUUUUCUUUUUUUUGAUGAUUUCCAAGAAGAAGUUCAUUUUCAUCCAAAAAUUUAUCUUUUUCACAUCAACCUUGUUGCACUUUUACUCUUUUUUUUUAAUAUAAAAAUGAUAUCCCCAAUGCUUUUAGACACUAAACUUGGUGAAUAUUAUUGACAAAACAAAAGUUACAGUGCAAUUUUUCUCUUAUGGAAAGUUUAUCUAUUCUUUUGGGUAACAUCUUUCUAUCGUCUCUUCUUGGCAAAAUUACUUGCUUACACACUCUGCGUUAAAUAAUUUUCUCGUUCUUAAAUGAUGUAUUUGUAGCUCUGUACUUGAUUUAUUUUUAUUUGAUGCAAAGCCUGUGGGUUAUAAAUAAUUUUUUUUAUAAAAAAUGGUUGAGCUAGAGAUAUUUGAACUCCUGUAAGCUCUGUUUUGUGGAGAACAAGUGGGUCCCGUUACAAUGAUGAACAUUAAUUUUACCCAACAGCCAAGGGGAAAAAGUUUAUAAUUUAUUAAUUCAUAAUGGAGCAAUUAGUGGGGUCACUAACGAGUAACGGUCGGUGCACCUCUUUUUUUUUUUUUGGCCCUUUUUCAUGUGAGCCAUAUUGUCCAUACAUCUUGUACAAAAAUAUAAGAUUUAUAUUUACAAAUCUCUUGUAGUCCAUAUUAAUUCAUUUAUCUUAUUAUUAUUAUUAUUAUUAUUAUUGUUAUUAUUAUUAUUAUUACUAAAGUUUUAAACGAUUAUAUAUUUUUUAGAUUAACAUUUUAUAUUUCUCUAUAAAAAGUAUACCGAUAACACUUCUUUUUCUUUUGCCUCUUUUCAAUAGAAGGACGUGCACUCAGGAUGAACAAAUUUGGGCAAUACUAAAUUGUUGUAACAUGGAGGGACACUGUUGGAUAAAUAGUAUUCAUACUCGGUGAGAAUUAUCGUGACUGUGUUGUGAGAUGUAUUAUGUAACAUUUACACCAUAUCAUUACAAACCAAUCAAUCAUUUUUAAAAAAAUAAAUAAAUAAAUUUUUUUUACUAAUAACUAUCAUGCGGCUGAAUAUAGCCGGUGUAUUUAAAAAAAAAAUAUUCUGUGUGAUGGGAUGCUGCAGGAAAUAUGACAAAAUUUGGGCCCAUGCUGAGGUGCUAGGGUUAUUUGCAAGGUCAACUAUUCUCUCAACUCAGUUUGAAAAUUACUAGUUCAUUUCGAAUCAGUUUUGAGAUUUUAAAUUCAAUAGCAGACCAAGCAUGUCUCCUAUGAUAAAAUUACAAACAAAGCAAGUAAAUUAGAAGCCAUGCCAACUUGUUACAUGAUAGAUAUACUUACAGAUUUAGACCAGAAAACUUAGGCGUCGGGAGAUGCAUGAGGCCACGGGUUUUUUUUGCCGGCCAUUCAAAGUGUCCAGAAGAAGCAAAGAGGACAACAGUGUACUCUCCAUUUAGAAGUGCACCAAGCAACAAGAAUAGUGAGUGCAUCAACAAAUUGUUACAUGCCAAACAAAGCAAUGUUUAACAUAGACAAGGAUAAUGCUACGCCCACUCCAAAAAAGAUUCACAUAGAAUCUAUACUCUUUAUAGGUAGUGUACCAGAAUUCGUGUUGAAAUUCUCCUUUUACCAAUUUCUAGAAACGAAUUUAGCAUUACCAGUUCGAGAAAAGCAUGAAACAAUAAUUACAAGCAUGUCGGCCAAAAUCAAGAUACAUUUAAUGAGUGCUUGUAGUCCAUAUAGCAUCCAACUGUUUCCCUACACACGGACUGUUGAAAAAGAAUGAAACAUCUUUUCAUUUUAGCAUCCAGUAUGUUGAACAAGCACACAGUAGGACAAUAAUUUUUGAACUAAGCAGUGCGUUUUUAACUACUUGCUGACAAAAUGUGAAAUGAAUGUAAAAUUGCAUGAGAUAUGUAAUAAUAUUCUAGAUCUGAUUCACUCCCAAACAAUUCAUACCUCUCAAACCAUUCUCCACGCAAACAAAAAAAACAUCAAAUCUAACAUUGCAUCCUGUCCGAAAUAUCUAACAUUCAAUACCCCAAAGGAAAAGGAUCCACAAUAUGGAGAUAGCAAUCAAUAAUAAGAAGCAUUUGAUACUGUAAACUGUUCCAGAUCAUCAUGAGAUUACAGUGAAAGGGCAGUAUUCCACUAGCAAACCACACAAGCUGUAUUGUUUUUAAUGAAAUGUGUUACAUCUGGAGUGUAGAUCACUUCAAAUCUUAUCAUUCACCACUAAUUUCUUUCAUCUACUUUUUUCUUGACACUGCCUAUUAGAACACCUGUAGCACAAUAAAUAGGCCUACCAGAGACCUAUAAUUGAAGUUGGUAUUGCAAUUAAGCCCAGCGCAACAGGGCUUCUGGAACCCAUGUAUGACCUCAGCUGGAAGAACUUUACCGCACUGAGCGAAAAACAAAAAAAAAAGAAAGUUAAAGGGGUAAAAAAGAGAACGUUUCCUAGACCAAGGAGGCAAACUUUAGAUCAUUGAGAGAUAAAUAUAAAAUAAAAGAGUCCAUAUGCUGCAGUUUCGUCGGCCAGCUCUACCUAUAUUGGCAAAAUUUUUUGAGAGAAAGGUAGCAUGCUAUCCGCUUCGUUCAAUUUUUUAAAGAAUGAACUUAGCCAGAAUGUGAAGCAACUAGGUUUCGAAUUUAAGACCUCGAAUAGCAACCACCAAACCUUUUGCUACUUGCGCUAGGGGCAGUCAGUCCCUACCUAUGUUGGCGAAACUGAUGGAGGAAUUUGAAAGAUAUGCAAGUAUCUAUGCACCUAUAAUAGCAAAACAGUUUCUUAGAAAUAUUUUUCUCCUCCACUAUGUGGCAAACCAAUGUCACAAAUAUUGUACAACAGUUAAAACAGACUAAACUAAAGAAAACAUUCAUCUAAUAUAGCCAUUCCAUUUGCUAGAAGCCUAGAAUAACCUAUAGAAGCAUGACUUUUACAGAUGGAACAAUUGGGAUAUCUUAAAAGUAUUCUGUGGUUCUAGCCUUAAUAUUCCAAAUGCAGAAGCCAAUUCAACGUUCCAGGAAAGCUUGAAAAUACUCAAAACUUCAUGAACCCUGAAAAGUCAGACCACAAGAUGUUAUGUCUUCAACCUUUUUUUUUUGCAUGAUCGGAAUAAGAUUGUAAACAAAUGAAUGAAGUAAGAUUUUACUAAAAGAAAUCACCAAAUAGAAAGCUUUCAAUGGCUCAUACUCUCAUAAUGCAGAACAUCGGAAUUCAAAAGUCGGACAAGGAAAAGACUUCGACAACCAAUAACCAGGAAAGGCACUUGAACCGUUUCAUUUUCUUUAAACCCAAAACAAAGGUGAAACCAGUGAAGUAAAUUAAUAAGACACUUCUUAACAGUUCAAGUUCCUCGGAAAAGCGCUCUCUGUCUAUGAGAAUUAAACUUACCUCGAUAUUACCAUGGUUGUUUGAGAUUUGGACCUAAAACAAUUGAUGAUGAAAGAACAAUGUUGGUGAUCAAAACAACAUGCCCUCAAAGGACCUAUAACAGUUUAAUUCUCAUGGACAGAACACUCUAAAGCGAAUGAAUCCAGUUUCCUGAUGUUUAUUGAAGAAGAACAAGAAAUCACAGCUAAAAGAUUAUGAUAAAAUAUAAAUGGAUUGUAAUCAAACUAUAAAGGACAUAAUAUUUUCCCAAUGUUUAUCAAAACAACAAGGUACUCAACAUGCAUUCAAAAGCUUUGCAAAGGCUACAGCUUUACAAUCAGAAGAGAAGUGCUGGUUACACACAAAAUGCAGAAUACAUCCCAUUUGAAGCACGCACCGCAUCAAAUUACAUCCAAAUAGGGACGAGAAGCAACACCUAAAGUUCAUGGCAAAACACAGAGAGUAGAUAUAACUAAAUUGAAAAUACAACAGGUUACUUCACAGUCAAAACUUCGAGCGCCCUCAAUUCAUGUAAAAACUUGUUGAUAAAUUAAACCAAGCUAGGUCAAAACUUACCGCCCCCUUUAAAAUGUCGCAAUUCAACCGGUGAUCAUGGUUCCAGCACCUUCGUCGGUUAGGAUCUCGAGGAGAAGCGAGUGCGGGAGCCGGCCAUCGAUAAUGCUAGCCGUGCGAACCCCUUGAGCAAGGGCCCUAAUGCAGCAAUUAACCUUUGGUAUCAUCCCCCCCGCCACCUUCCCCUCCUUUAUCAUGUUCCUUAUUCCACUUAUGUCGAUCUCCUUAACAAGGCUUCCGGGAUCGUCGCGGUCCGCAAGGAUCCCGGGCACAUCUGUGAGCAGGAUCAGCUUCUCCGCGGCGACAGCGGCGGCGAUCUCUCCGGCGACCGUGUCGGCAUUGAUGUUGUAGGUCUGGCCGGCCUCGUCUGCGGCAACGGUGGCGAUCACGGGGAUGUAGGCGUCGCCGAUGAUCGGACGGAGGACGGCGGGGUCCACGCGCGCGACCUCGCCCACGAACCCUAGCGCGGCGGCGUCGGGGGUGGGACGCGCGGUGAUGAGGCGAGCGUCCUUGCCGCAGAGGCCGACGGCGGUGGCGCCCUCGGCGUUGAGGAGGGAGACGAGGGACUUGUUCACCUUGCCGACGAGGACCAUCUCGACGACCUCCAUGGUUUGGGCGUCGGUGACGCGGAGGCCGUUGUGGAACUGGGGCUCGACGCCGACGCGGAGGAGCCACUCGUUGAUCUCGGGGCCGCCGCCGUGGACGAGGACGAGGCGGAGGCCGACGCAGGAGAGGAGGACGAGGUCCUUCACCACCGACUUCUGGAGCGCCUCCGACUUCAUGGCGGCGCCGCCGUACUUCACCACGAUCGUCUUCCCGCGGAACCGCUGGAUGAAGGGGAGCGACUCCGAGAGCACGUCCACGCGCGGCUGAGGCGGCGUUUGAAGCGCCUGCACCGGCGCCGGCGCCGGCGCCGCGGCGGUCAACGCGGCGGCGCCGGAGCGCGGGGGCCGAAGACGGGUGGUGGAUAGGAAACCACGGCUAGGGUUAGGGUUAGGGUUAGGGUUAGCGUUUUGGAGGGGAUUCGAGAGGGAGAGGGGAGGAGUGUGGGUUCUCGCGAGGAGCAUCUUCUUCCUUUGCCCUCGUGCGCCGCUCUCAAAGUGUUCGACUGAUUUACCGAGUAGCGCAGCGGAAACAAAGCAGUCCAGUUCACAAUAGUUGAUUGUUUAUUAGGCUUCACUGGGGUUUUGCAUAUAAGAGAAAAUGCAUUAUACAUUAUAAAAGAUUUAUAAAAUAUUUCUUUAUUUAUUUUUGUAAAUAAUAAUUUUCACAUAAAUAAACUGCACUAAUUUUGUUGACAUAUAAUUUCUAAAUCCAUAUCCAUAUCCAUACUUACUAUUAAAAGACUCCCUUCUUUCCUGAAAAUGCCAUCGAUCGAUUUAUAACAUAAUGUCAAUCAUCUCCUAGUAAUAUCCGAAUUUAUGUUAUUUGAUAAAUAUCACAUAAUUAUCAAAUAUUUUUAUUAUUUUUAAAAUUUUUGAUAUUAUAUAAUAAUUUUAAAUUGUUGUAUAUUAUCCCACGUUCAAAAAAAGUCUCUGUUUUUGGAUGAUGUUAAUAUUAUUAUGCCAUUAUGAUAAGCAAAAUAACUUGUAUAGCAUGUUGCAUGUUUUCCUAAAAGCUUCUACGGUUUUUUUUUUGAUAUUCUCGCCUAUUCAUAAAAGAGGGAGUUUUCUUCUCCUUUUGUUCUCAAAGUGUCCUUUAUUACUUAUGAUAUACUGUUAAUCAUCUCUUAACAACAUCUGGCCAUUAUUUAUUUGAUAAAUAUCAUAUAAUUAAUAAACAUUUUUAUUAUUUUCUAAAUUAAUAUUAUAUAAAAAUUUUAAACAGUUGGAUAUUAUCCAACGAACAAAUAAUAAAGUAUUUAUUUUUUUUUUUAACGAUAUUGCUCUGCUAUAUGAUAAGCAAAAUAUCCUCUAUAAUAAAAGAGAAAGUUUUCUUUCCCUUUCUAGAUCAUUUAGAAUUUUUUCGCGAUGCCAUUUUUAAGAAUAUUUUUCUUUACUUCUUAAAGGAUUUUAUUAUUGUUUGGUUUUUAAAUUUUUAUGAGACUCAAUCCACAUCUAUAAGAAGUUUAUUUUUUUUCAAAAAAAAAAUGAAAGCUACACGUUUAGGUUUCCAAACAUUUUAAAUAGUAUAUAUUAUAUUUUAAAUAUUUUAUGUAACGUGCAUUAUGCCUGUGUACUUAGAUAGUCACUAUAAAAUAUAGAAGUAUGUCAGACUUUCCUCAACUCUAUUUGGCCAAACAACUGUAGAUCACCAAAUAUACCUUAUUAAAAAUUACCUAAUGCUAUAGGUCUCAAAAAUAAUGACCAAAAAUGUAAAAAUAUAUUUAUCCAGUGGUGGGACUAUUGAUAUUAUAUUUUCAUCUAAACAACGUUAUUUUUUUUGAGAAAAGGUAGCACGCUACCUGUUUUAUUCAUUGAAAAUAUGAAUUAGGCUACAUGGGUGAGGCAGCCAGGGCCUCGAAGGAGGGGCGCGAAAAAAAAAAAAAAAAAACCGGUAUGGUAGGACGUCUAGCAAUUUAUGCACAUAGCUCCCAGGAUUUCAGCAGCUCCUUAAAUUUGUACACCGUCACGUAAACAACGUUAUUUUAGUUACAAUAUAAUAAUUUUUUAUAUGAAAAAAAAAAUUCA